CCUGGUUUUCACAGCAGUGUCUUUGCACCUUGUCCUAAGUUGCCUAAAUCUGUUUAAAAAACCUCAGAAGGCUGUUUCAGGUUCUGAUGCAUGGUGUGGAGCAGCUGGUGAGUACCCUGUGCUGUGGUACAUUGAGCAAAAAGCACUUGUGGAGGGCUUUGGCACAACCUGGAAACCAAACUGGGGAGACACUGACCAAAGCAUUUGCUGUGCUGGUGUACUGGUGGCAGAGGUGUGCACACUCUUCCCAGAAAGGAGAAGACACUGAAGGUUAAACAUUGAAAAAGUUCCAGGUGGAAGCUUGGUUUUCACAGCAGUGCCUUUGCACCUUGGCCAAAGUUGCCUAAAUCUGUUAAAAAACCUCAGAAGGCUGUUUCAGGUUCUGGUGCAUGGUGUGGAGCAGCUGCUGAGUGCCCUGCACGUGCUGGGGUGCAUUCAGCUGCACCCUGACAGCAAAAAGCACUUCCUUGUGGAGGGCUGUGGCACAACCUGGAAACCCAAACUGGGGAGAUCCUGACCAAGCCAUUUACUGUGCUGGUGCAGUGCCAGUGCCCAGAGAAACAUCCCAGUUAGAGGAGCAGAGCAGGAAUUGGCAGUGCAGGGUGGCAGCCUUGCAGUCUGCAGGAUUUACAUGCAGAGGUUUAACACCAUUCUGCUCAGGAAUGUCUGUGCUGGGCUUCUGCAGCCAUGAUAAUGAAAAAAUCAGCUGUGGAAUUAAAGAAUCAACUGUAAUCAAGCCUUUGAGUUCUGAGGUGCAUCCAAGAGGGGAAGCUGGAGAUGACUGCCCAAAUGUCUCAGGCCUGAACUUAAAGCAGUGCUCCUGGACCCAUGGGCCAGCCCUAAGGCAGAAUCACAGAAUUUUCCUUAAUGGGAGCCUUGACUGAUGGGAAAAGGGAAGAAAAUUCCAGAAUCAAAUGAAAAGAAGUGGAAGGAAGGAGCAGAAUUAUCAAUUCGAAGGCGUAACUGACAGAGCUUUCCAGAAUGGAAUGUUUGUGCUUUACUCUUUGAGGCACAGACUCUGACGUGUAGAAGCAAUAUAUUUAACAAAGAAUGUAAGUACACAUGAAGAAUUAGCACACAGUUGACAUCUCUGGCUGUAGGAGGAGCCACUGUGUCUGGAAGGUUGAGCUCUAAGUGCAGUAAAAUAUCAGAGAUUAACAGCCUGUCUCCAACAGAUUAUUGAGAUGGAAUAAAUCCUGUACAUAUCAGAUCA
rnacentral:lncRNA from 1 species